rnacentral:rRNA from 2 species
CAAUCAAACCGGGAGAUAGCUGGUUCUCCCCGAAAGCUAUUUAGGUAGCGCCUCGUGAAUUCAUCUCCGGGGGUAGAGCACUGUUUCGGCUAGGGGGCCAUCCCGGCUUACCAACCCGAUGCAAACUGCGAAUACCGGAGAAUGUUAUCACGGGAGACACACGGCGGGUGCUAACGUCCGUCGUGAAGAGGGAAACAACCCAGACCGCCAGCUAAGGUCCCAAAGUCAUGGUUAAGUGGGAAACGAUGUGGGAAGGCCCAGACAGCCAGGAUGUUGGCUUAGAAGCAGCCAUCAUUUAAAGAAAGCGUAAUAGCUCACUGGUCGAGUCGGCCUGCGCGGAAGAUGUAACGGGGCUAAACCAUGCACCGAAGCUGCGGCAGCGAACGUAUCACCCAAGACAACUUUACGGAGUUGACGAUUGACGGAGCGAAGCGACGUCAAAGCGUUCAUUAAAGUCGAGUUGGCUUAGGGAUACGUUCGUUGGGUAGGGGAGCGUUCUGUAAGCCUGUGAAGGUGUGUCGUGAGGCAUGCUGGAGGUAUCAGAAGUGCGAAUGCUGACAUAAGUAACGAUAAAGC